UGCAGCCUGCAACUCGGCUGCAUGAAGCUGGAAUCGCUAGUAAUCGCGGAUCAGAAUGCCGCGGUGAAUACGUUCCCGGGUCUUGUACACACCGCCCGUCACACCAUGGGAGCCGGGAAUGCCCGAAGUCAGUGGCCCAACCGCAGGGAGGGAGCUGCCGAAGGCAGGCCUGGUGACUGGGGUGAAGUCGUAACAAGGUAAC
rnacentral:rRNA from 1 species